rnacentral:tRNA from 1 species
AGUAUAGCUCAGUUGGCUAGAGCACCGGUCUCCAAAACCGGGUGUCGGGGGUUCAAGUCCCUCUACUC